UGGGGAAUAUUGCACAAUGGGCGCAAGCCUGAUGCAGCCAUGCCGCGUGUAUGAAGAAGGCCUUCGGGUUGUAAAGUACUUUCAGUCGGGAGGAAGGUGGUAAGGUUAAUAACCUUAUCAAUUGACGUUACCGACAGAAGAAGCACCGGCUAACUCCGUGCCAGCAGCUGCGGUAAUACGGAGGGUGCAAGCGUUAAUCGGAAUUACUGGGCGUAAAGCGCACGCAGGCGGUUGAUUGAGUCAGAUGUGAAAUCCCCGGGCUUAACCCGGGAAUUGCAUCUGAUACUGGUCAGCUAGAGUCUUGUAGAGGGGGGUAGAAUUCCAUGUGUAGCGGUGAAAUGCGUAGAGAUGUGGAGGAAUACCGGUGGCGAAGGCGACCCCCUGGACAAAGACUGACGCUCAGGUGCGAAAGCGUGGGGAGCAAACAGG
rnacentral:rRNA from 1 species